UACGGAGGGUGUAAGCGUUAUCCGGAUUCACUGGGUUUAAAGGGUGCGUAGGUGGGUUGGUAAGUCAGUGGUGAAAUCUCCAGGCUUAACUUGGAAACUGCCAUUGAUACUAUCAAUCUUGAAUACUGUGGAGGUCAGCGGAAUAUGUCAUGUAGCGGUGAAAUGCUUAGAUAUGACAUAGAACACCAAUUGCGAAGGCAGCUGGCUACACGAAUAUUGACACUGAUGCACGAAAGCGUGGGGAUCAAACAGG
rnacentral:rRNA from 1 species